rnacentral:misc_RNA from 1 species
GAUGAGAACGUAGCGAAAUGCGAUAAGUAAUGUGAAUUGCAGAAUUCAGUGAAUCAUCGAAUCUUUGAACGCACAUUGCGCCCGCCAGUAUUCUGGCGGGCAUGCCUGUUCGAGCGUCAUUUCAACCAUCAAGCCCCAGGCUUGUGUUGGGGACCUGCGGCUGCCGCAGGCCCUGAAAACCAGUGGCGGGCUCGCUGUCACACCGGGCGUAGUAGAUUUUAUCUCGCUCAGGGCGUGCUGCGGGUUCCGGCCGUUAAAAAGCCUUUUUUACCCAAGGUUGACCUCGGAUCAGGUAGGAAGACCCGCGGAACUUAAGCAUAUCAAUAAGCGGAGGA